rnacentral:lncRNA from 1 species
AAACACUGAGAUUUUCUCAAAAAUCGACGGUGCGCCUUCUAAUAUGGAGCGCCUUGUGUCUGCUGUGUGCCUUUGGUAGGUGCACUACGGUAAACGCUCCGCCAAUCGAUUAGCGACACCUACGCGUAAGGAUCCCUUAAAAUGGCGCCGGUCAAGCGAGACCUAUAUGAAUGAGGCUUACUUUAAACUGCAGGCCAUCGAAUAUGUGGCUGAAAAUGGCAAUCGAGCAAUCUUAGUGUUUUCGCUUUAUGAGGCGGCGGCAUCUCUCCCUACGCGCGAGGAAAACUGUUGCGCAGCGGCUGCCCGCGGAUUACCAGGAGAGGGCGGCCAUCUUCCGCACCUACUGCCGCGACAAGAUAACGGCGCCCAGCCACAUCUAUGAGGCAGCGGCGGGCAAGUUAUGCCACCAUAUGCGGGUGGAUUGUAGACGCAUGGGCUAUAAUACCGUCUUCAUGUACUGUAAGAGCUUUCACAAAAUCAACGCUGAAGCGGAACCGGUCGGAUACUGCCAGAUCUGUUUCCAGGACAGUAGUUGGGGAUCUACGUUGGGGUGACAACUAUGUUUGAAUGGACUCACUCAAAAUGAACAUUGAAAGAUGCUGGAGGACACUGAAUGAAGAUGUGGAACAACUGAAGAUGUGAAUCACCUGAAGAUCCUUCAUCAGGGGACUACGAAGUACAAGUUCAAAAAACUGCAGUUUGAUGUGUUUAACACACACACACACACACACGUUUUUUGUCAAUAAAGUUAUUUGGGUGAUUUCAUCAGUAGGCAGAUGUUAUGAAAACUCAGGUUUUUGGUGAAUAGGGAGAUGAGUACUUAGGCAGGGAAAGUUCCGAGGUAAGGUCCAAUGGGUCGACCAGCUUGACCAUGGACAGUUUUUUUAUUUUGUUUCUGAGUGUCUCAUUUGUGUUUGCCAAACUCCCUGAAUAUAACCUUUUCGCAAAAUUUGCUUGGAGUACCAUAGGUGGUCACCAUAGACAGAGGGACCAUCAGAGACUUGCUCUCACAGUCCACUGAAUUUUCAUAUAUGAAUUACUCCUACCCAAUCAAUCUUUUGCUCAUGUGCAUCAAAUUAUCCUACUUUAUUGGUC